rnacentral:misc_RNA from 1 species
GAUGAAGAACGCAGCGAAAUGCGAUAAGUAAUGUGAAUUGCAGAAUUCAGUGAAUCAUCGAAUCUUUGAACGCACAUUGCGCCCCUUGGUAUUCCGAGGGGCAUGCCUGUUCGAGCGUCAUUAUAACCCCUCAAGCUCAGCUUGGUGUUGGGGCCUGCUGCACUGGCAGCCCUUAAAAUCAGUGGCGGCGCCAUCUGGCUCUAAGCGUAGUAAUUCUUCUCGCUAUGGAGUCCUGGUGGAUGCUUGCCAUCAACCCCCAAUUUUUCUAUGGUUGACCUCGGAUCAGGUAGGGAUACCCGCUGCACUUAAGCAUCUCAAUAAGCGGAGGA